CCUACGGGAGGCAGCAGUGGGGAAUAUUGGGCAAUGGAGGAAACUCUGACCCAGCGACGCCGCGUGCGGGAUGAAGGCCUUCGGGUUGUAAACCGCUUUCAGUAGGGAAGAAGCGAAAGUGACGGUACCUACAAAAGAAGCACCGGCUAACUAUGUGCCAGCAGCCGCGGUAAUACAUAGGGUGCAAGCGUUGUCCGGAAUUAUUGGGCGUAAAGAGCUCGUAGGUCGUUUGUUACGUCGGAUGUGAAAACCUGAGGCUCAACCUCAGGCCUGCAUUCGAUACGGGCAAACUAGAGUUUGGUAGGGGAGACUGGAAUUCCUGGUGUAGCGGUGGAAUGCGCAGAUAUCAGGAGGAACACCAAUGGCGAAGGCAGGUCUCUGGGCCAAUACUGACACUGAGGAGCGAAAGUCUGGGGAGCGAACAGGAUUAGAUACCCUGGUAGUCCAGACCGUAAACGGUGGGCACUAGUUGUGGGAACCUUCCACGGUUUCUGCGACGCNGCUACGCAUAGUAGCCCGCCGUCGGGAGGUACGAGUCGCGAGAAGUUAAACGUAACGAAAGGAAAGUUAGUAACGGUCGUGUUAGACGUGCCGACGGACGACGACGAGGGAGGAGG
rnacentral:rRNA from 1 species